UGUUAAUCUGUAACCCUAUAGCCCCAACCCUGUGCUUGCAGGAAUGUGUGCUCCCUGUGCUUGCAGGAAUGUGUGCUGUGUUGACUCAGGGUUUAAUGGAUUCAGAGCUAUGCAGGAUGUGCUUUGUUAAAGAAGGGCUUGAAGGCAGUCUGCUUGGUAAAAGUCAUCACCGUUCUCUGAUCUCGAGUACCCAGGGACACAAACACUGCGAAAGGCCGGCCGCAGGGACCUCUGCCCGGGAAAGCCAGCCUCUCGGGGUCCACCUGACGAGAACCGCCCACAGGUGUGGAGAAGGAGGCCACCCCUUCGACUUGAACCCGGGAAGCGGAGGUGGCAGUGAGCCGAGAUCGCACCACUGCACUCCAGCCUGGGGGACGGAAAGAACGUUCCAAACCUCAAAUCACAGGAUUGCACCCUCUGGCUCCCAGCCCCUGUCCUUAAAACCCUUUCAAAACACGGUGCAUUUAGACAAA